rnacentral:lncRNA from 1 species
UGGCAGUUAGCCACAAGUGGUGCCCAAACAGGGAUGAAUAGGGACAGACAGGGACAGAUAGGGAUAAAGACUAGCAAAGACUAGCAAUAUAAGGUCAGUGCCCUAAAGAGGUACAAAAGUAGAGACUAGCAGAGACUAGCAAAUACUAGCAGAAACUUGAAGGGACUAUCAGGGACAGAGACCUGAAGGGACCUGAAGAGGCCUGCAGGGACAAUAAGAAAUAAGUAGAGAUAAGUAGAGAUAAAUAGAGAUAAGGAAGUACAGAUAGGUAGGAGCAGACAGGGACUUGCAGGAACUAACAGGUACCAUGGGGACAGAUCAAGAAAACCAUACAGGAAGCUGAGAAACUGCUGGAGCACCGGGGUUUCACCUUUUGCUGGAACUCAGAGGUACAAUCGAUGCUUAACAGACCGAUGAUUUUUGACUGAGCUCCUCUCUACGCUGAAUACAAGAGACCCUAAUAGUUAGGCAGGAAUAUCAUCGCCCCUAUUCAGCAUGAAGAAGUUGCAGGAGACAGACCUUCAUCCUUCUGCAGCCCUUAGGAUUAAGGGUCCUCUUGCAAAAGGGAAGGGGGAAAUAUGUAAGAAGCAUUCAAACCAGAGUGACUCCAUUUUGAAUAAGGGCUAAGAAAAAUGAAGCUGGAUAACCAACUGGCAAUUAAGGGGUGCACAGCCUGCAAUUGCCUUGCUCAAUUAAUUUAAAAACAAAAAGGAGAUGUUGGAGGCCACACAAAUGUUUCUUGUGAUUAGGUACAUCUGAAGCCUGUCAAUAAUGAACCUGUGAUCAUUUAAGCAGCUGACCAAUCGUUACCUCCUCCUCCUUGCUCUUAUUACCCAAUAAAUCCAAAGGGCUGUGGAAGCUCAAGGUGGGCUGCCUUUACUCACUAGAAGCAGGGAGCUCUCUUAUUCUUCCCCAUGCUAGCCUUUCCUUAAAACAG